rnacentral:rRNA from 1 species
GGACGAACGCUGGCGGCGUGCUUCAUACAUGCAAGUCGAACGAGAAUCUCUAGCUUGCUAGAGAGGAAAGUGGCGGACGGGUGAGUAAAAUGUAGGUAAUCUGCCUUUAAGCGGGGGACAACAGUUGGAAACGAUUGCUAAUACCCCAUAUGAGUGUACCUGAGAUGGUAUUCUUGAAAACUCCGGUGCUUAGAGAUGAGCCUGCAUCUGAUUAGCUAGUUGGGGGUGUAAUGGACCACCAAGGCGACGAUCAGUAGCUGGUUUGAGAGGAUGAUCAGCCACAAUGGGACUGAGACACGGCCCAUACUCCUACGGGAGGCAGCAGUAGGGAAUUUUGCGCAAUGGGGGAAACCCUGACGCCAGCAACGCCGCGUGAAUGAGACGGCCUUCGGGUUGUAAAGCUCUGUCAAUAGGGACGAAAAAUGACGGUACCUAUAGAGGAAGCACCGGCUAACUCCGUGCCAGCAGCAGC